GGUGUUUUAUAUGCUCAAUCAAUUAUUAUUCUGUGUAAAAUUAGACUUAUUACUGCGAUUAUAACAGAAUAACAUCCAGUUACCCACUAUAAUUAACUGGUCUACUUGAUAUAUAUUGGAUUAUUGGUAUAUUAUAAGGACUGAAUGAAGUUUGAACUAAUAGGCUAGACCUCACACUUCACUUAGAGGGUUAACUAUUAUUCACUUGACGCUACAUCACCAUUCUAUACUAAACAAAUUCAUUUAACUGACCAAACUAUGCAAUUGGUGCAUAAGAUUCUAAAUAUUUCUUGGAAAUGUAUUUAAACUUUUCAUUUUACAUUCGAUCCUUUAGGGAAUAUCAGAGGAUAGCUAUUACAGUAUCUCGAAGAGAUAAUAGAUAAUUCCCAAACCUUCAGUGGCUACGUCUCAGCUCUUUAUGUCAUAACAGGUGACGAGAACUGAUUCGAGGACUUUUUUUUUAAAUUUUUAGUAUUACUGACGAAAAUUACUGGGCUAAGUUUCCGCUAUGCUAUUUUAGCUAUACUACAUUCUCCUGCAUGACUCCAUCUGAAACUGAUCCAACUUUUUGUGAUCAGUCUUUAUCUGUUUGUUUUUUAAUAUUCAACCGAUCUUAAGAAGAUGUACGUAUAAUAAAUUCGAUAACUGUAUGUAGCGGUAAAAACAUCACGUCGUAUUAGAAAUGAGAGACUUGUAAACUUUACUUGUUAAGGUUAAAAGCGAUUCACGAAUAUUAUAAUCAUAUAUAUUAAUACGCUAAGCUUUUCGAUGUUUGCCUCCCCUUUGAGAAAAUAACCUCACAAUUACUCCACAUAAAUUAUAUAUCAUUUUAUAGAUAAUUGCUUGUUCUACC
rnacentral:misc_RNA from 1 species